rnacentral:rRNA from 1 species
AGAGUUUGAUCAUGGCUCAGAUUGAACGCUGGCGGCAGGCUUAACACAUGCAAGUCGAGCGGAAACGAUGGUAGCUUGCUACCAGGCGUCGAGCGGCGGACGGGUGAGUAAUACUUAGGAAUCUACCUAGUAGUGGGGGAUAGCACGGGGAAACUCGUAUUAAUACCGCAUACGACCUACGGGAGAAAGGGGGCAGUUUACUGCUCUCGCUAUUAGAUGAGCCUAAGUCGGAUUAGCUAGAUGGUGGGGUAAAGGCCUACCAUGGCGACGAUCUGUAGCUGGUCUGAGAGGAUGAUCAGCCACACCGGGACUGAGACACGGCCCGGACUCCUACGGGAGGCAGCAGUGGGGAAUAUUGGACAAUGGGGGAAACCCUGAUCCAGCCAUGCCGCGUGUGUGAAGAAGGCCUUUUGGUUGUAAAGCACUUUAAGCAGUGAAGAAGACUCUUCGGUUAAUACCCGGAGACGAUGACAUUAGCUGCAGAAUAAGCACCGGCUAACUCUGUGCCAGCAGCCGCGGUAAUACAGAGGGUGCAAGCGUUAAUCGGAAUUACUGGGCGUAAAGCGAGCGUAGGUGGCUUGAUAAGUCAGAUGUGAAAU